rnacentral:rRNA from 1 species
AGGACGAACGCUGGCGGCGUGCCUAACACGUGCAAGUCGAGCGGAGUUGACAAGAGGAAGUUUCGGAUGGAAUUUGUAAUUAGCGGCGGACGGGUGAGUAACGCGUGAGCGACCAACCUUGCACAGGGGGGUAACGGACCGAAAGGUUCACUAAUACCGCAUGAGACCACGGUGUUGCAUGACACAGGGGUCAAAGGAGCAAUCCGGUGCAAGACGGGCUCGCGUCCGAUUAGGUAGUUGGAGGGUAACGGCCCACCAAGCCUAUGAUCGGUAGCCGACCUGAGAGGGUGAUCGGCCACAUUGGAACUGAGAUACGGUCCAAACUCCUACGGGAGGCAGCAGUGGGGAAUAUUGGGCAAUGGGGGGAAACCCUGACCCAGCAACGCCGCGUGAAGGAAGAAGGUUUUCGGAUUGUAAACUUCUGUCCUUGGUGAAGAGAAGAAGACGGUAGCCAAGGAGGAAGCCCCGGCUAACUACGUGCCAGCAGCAGC